CAUACAUAUCCACAAAUUUAACAAAUCCAUAUUGUGCAUUUACAAUUAUUGCUGCUGUGUUUUAACCAUCUUAAAGCACACUUACGAGCCAUUGAAUUCAAACAGUGCAAACAAAGUAGAACACUCCACCCACCCCUAUCAUUUUGUGUAACCUGAUACAUUCUCGAUGCAUGCGCUGGGUGUUAAGUGUUUGCUUAGGAUUUGGAUUACAAAACCGUUUCAUGGUUAGAAUAAUGUAAUCAAUGUGUUUGGUAGGGUAAAUAUGACAAUUACUGAAUAACAUAGUAAUCCAGAACUAAUGUCUUAGUCGUCUUUUUCUAACACAGAAUCUGUCAUCUGGAUAAAAAUAAACACAAAAUGGCUAUGAAUUGUAAAGGUUAACCUUAUUAUUUCUUAUAUAAGUCAGGUAGUAUGUCAAUGUACUUCAGAUUUAUUUUGCAAAUUAUAGCUUGUUAUGCUGAAAUAUCCAGUCUGGACAAGUAGAUGGCAUUGUUUUACUAAUUAAAGGAAUUUGUGAUUGAUGCUCUUCUGGAUUCCCUGAAAUACUAAAUGUGUAGAUUAAAUUGAUGCAACAUUUAAAAAUAAUCACUUUGUCUAAGUGUACUCUUUGAAUGUGACAUUUAGUAGCCUGAAACUCUAUUUUUAACUUUAUUUUUAGGCAUUUUAAUAAUAUGAAUUAGCAUUUUGAAUAUUUGAAGGUAAUAUGACUUUAUCGCUAACAGAAAAUAAGACUUCUCCAUAAAAGCUCAAAUCUUCAUUAUGUCUAAAAGGGAUACUUUAGUCACCAAAACAACUUUAUCGUAGUUAAGCAGUUUUUCAUUAUGUUAUGAACUCGAUCAGGCAUAGGCAACCUUCGGCACUCCAGAUGUUUUGGACUACACCUCACAUGAUGCUUUGCCAGCAUUAUGGGUGUAAGAGCAUUAUAGGGGACGCAGUCUACAAAAUCUGGAGUGAGGAAGGUUGCCUACCCCUGGACUAGAAUAUUAUUGGAUAAGUCUUUGAACUUCAGUUAUAGAUCAACUAUGAGUUUAAUCACUGACUGGUUGAAAAUUAUGGCACUUGAAUGUGUUUAGUCAUCCCUAAAAUAAAACAACAAAGGACAGGUGAUUAGGUCUAUUCAAUUAGCAGUGAGCUGACAGCAUCAUAAAUUUAGAUCAACAUAACACUGCUUGCUAGAUUAAAAAAAA